GACGAACGCUGGCGGCGUGCCUAACACAUGCAAGUCAAAGGGAAGCAACUUCGGUUGUAAGUACUUGGCGCAAGGGUGAGUAAUGUAUAGGUAAUCUGCCCUUUGGACUGGGAUAACCCCGAGAAAUCGGGGACAAUACCAGAUGACGCAGCGGGACCGCAUGGUACUGUUGUUAAAGAUUUAUCGCCAAAGGAUGAGCCUAUAUCCCAUCAGGUAGUUGGCAGGGUUAAAGCCUACCAAGCCUACGACGGGUAGGGGACCUGAGAGGGUGGACCCCCACAAUGGAACUGAAACACGGUCCAUACACCUACGGGAGGCAG
rnacentral:rRNA from 1 species